rnacentral:rRNA from 1 species
AAGUCGUAACAAGGUCUCCGUUGGUGAACCAGCGGAGGGAUCAUUACUGAGUACUACACUCUCUACCCUUUGUGAACUAUUAUACCUGUUGCUUCGGCGGCGCCCGCAAGGGUGCCCGCCGGUCUCAUCAGAAUCUCUGUUUUCGAACCCGACGAUACUUCUGAGUGUUCUUAGCGAACUGUCAAAACUUUUAACAACGGAUCUCUUGGCUCCAGCAUCGAUGAAGAACGCAGCGAAACGCGAUAUGUAAUGUGAAUUGCAGAAUUCAGUGAAUCAUCGAAUCUUUGAGCGCACAUGGCGCCUUCCAGUAUCCUGGGAGGCAUGCCUGUCCGAGCGUCGUUUCAACCCUCGAGCCCCUGUGGCCCGGCGUUGGGGAUCUGCCACGGCAGGCCCCUAAAACCAGUGGCGGACCCGAAGGGCCCUCUCCUUUGCGCAGUAGCAUUCGCCUCGCAUCGGGAGUCCUCGGCGUCCUGCCUCUAAACCCCCCACAAGCCCGCUUCGGCGGCACCAAGGUUGACCUCGGAUCAGGUAGGAAUACCCGCUGAACUUAA